AUUAAAACACCGGUCCCCAUCCUAUCACCGAAGUUAAGCAACGUUGAGCCGGGUCAAUACCUAGAUAGGUGACGGCUCGAGAAUACUAAGUGCUGUAAG